AUGCCGCGAACGGGUCCUCGCCGACGGCGCUGUCGGCGACUGGCAAGCGCCAGGAUGUGGGUGGCCGGCGCGACCGGGAGCGCCACGCUACCUCGCCGCCUCCUCCCGCGGGCCGCAUCCUCGCAGCCGCACUCGCCGUUGCCCCCUCCCCGCGGGUCGCAACCUCGCCGCCUCCUCCCGCGGGCCGCAUCCUCGCAGCCGCACUCGCCGUUGCCCCCUCCCCGCGGGUCGCAACCUCGCCGCCUCCUCCCGCGGGCCAUCCUCGCCGCCGCCUCCUCCCGCAGGUUCACAACGUGGUGCCCGCAUACGGCGCCCUCCCGCAGCACUCGUGCCCCGCACGCCGCUGCUCCAACCGCCGAAAGGCCUCGCCGCUGUAAUCGCCGGAAUGAUAAGGUGAGGGGAUACUCGGGGGAGUGGGUGAGCCGGUGA
rnacentral:rRNA from 1 species